AUCUCGAGCAGCUAUUGAAAAUCAAUUUGCAUUCCGCACCACAAAUAUUUAAAUGUUAAUUCGGCUCUCCAAAAAACUUAAGUCUCUCAAAUCCAAUGAAGCAAUCGGCAAAUGAAAAUCUUUUCGGGGAGGCGAAAGAAAAACAAGAACCGCACUUCAAAAGCAAUUUCACCUUGUUUUCCACACACACAAACAAAAAUAGUGGAUAAACAAUGGCGCGAGGCAAAUAUCUUUUUUGGCCAUAUAUAACUUUCGGGCUCACUAUGAAAACACCAAACAGUAAGCUUCCGAGAAGUUGAACACAAAGUUUUAACUUGAAUAUCAACUAACUAUUCAACUAUUUUGCAUACUUUGAAAUUACUUUAAUUCAAAAUCUAAAAACGUACUUCAAGAUAUCGCAAUAAAUUAAAAUAAUUUUAAUAAAAGUACGAAUUAAAUUGCU